AGUGAACGCUGGCGGCGUGCUUAACACAUGCAAGUCGAACGAGAACGGAUUAUAGCUUGCUAUAAUUGUCAGCUAAGUGGCGCACGGGUGAGUAAUGUAUAGGUAAUAUGCCUCUUACUAAGGGAUAACAAAUGGAAACGUUUGCUAAUACCUAUACUCCUUAUUAACAGAAGUUAAUAAGGGAAAGAUUUAUUGGUAAGAGAUUAGCCUGUAUUGUAUCAGUUAGUUGGUGGGGUAAUGGCUUACCAAGACUAUGACACAUAACUGGGUUGAGAGGAUGAUCAGUCACACUGGAACUGAGACACGGUCCAGACUCCUACGGGAGGCAGCAGUGGGGAAUAUUGUACAAUGGACGAAAGUCUGAUGCAGCAACGCCGCGUGGAGGAUGACACAUUUCGGUGCGUAAACUCCUUUUAUAUGAGAAGAUAAUGACGGUAUUAUAUGAAUAAGCACCGGCUAACUCCGUGCCAGCAGCCGCCGUAA
rnacentral:rRNA from 1 species